rnacentral:rRNA from 1 species
AGAUUGAACGCUGGCGGAAUGCUUUACACAUGCAAGUCGAACGGCAGCACGGGGGCAACCCUGGUGGCGAGUGGCGAACGGGUGAGUAAUACAUCGGAACGUGUCCUGUAAUGGGGGAUAACCUGGCGAAAGCCAGGCUAAUACCGCAUACGUCCUACGGGAGAAAGCGGGGGAUCGCAAGACCUCGCGUUAUAGGAGCGGCCGAUGUCGGAUUAGCUAGUUGGUGGGUAAAGGCCUACCAAGGCGACGAUCCGUAGCUGGUCUGAGAGGACGACCAGCCACACUGGAACUGAGACACGGUCCAGACUCCUACGGGAGGCGGCAGUGGGGAAUUUGGACAAUGGGCGCAAGCCUGAUCCAGCCAUUCCGCGUGAGUGAAGAAGGCCUUCGGUUGUAAAGCUCUUCGGCCGGAAGAAUCGCAUCAGCGAAUAACUGGUGUGGUAGUGACGGUACGGAAGAAGAGACACCGGCUAACUACGUAGCCAGCAGCCGAC